ensembl:lncRNA
GUAUUUGUCUUUCCGGAGGCAGGGUGGGACAGACACAGGUGUGCGGCUUUGGAGCCGACCACUGUUAAACAUACCUGGGUUUCAACCCCAGGUCUGUCCCAUUAGCUGGGAGUGAGCAUAUGACUUAGCCUUCCUGGGCAUCAGUUUCUCUUAUCGGAAAAAUGGGUAUGAUCAACUCACUGCUCCGGGCUGGGACAAGAGCCUCCUGAUUCUGGCCUGGAAAAGUCAUAAUUUGGGGACCGACAACCUGGCUUCUCGCCUACCAUCUGACUGGGAUCCAGUCUCUUCACGUCAGCAUCUUGCCACUUUCACUCUCUGGGGUCAUCUGGGAACCUCAGCGAAUGGAAGGAACCUCCACAUCACUAACUGAGUUCCUACUGUGUGCCUGACACCCUGCCAAUCACAUCACAGCAUCAGGAGUGGAAAUCACAAUGGAGACAAAAUAAACAAAUCGCAGGGGACAGAGAGUGUCCUGGUGCAGACGCUUUCUAGAGAUGAUGCUUUCAGUGCGCGCUUCCCAGCAGCUCUGUGAAGCCCUUGCCUCGUGGAGGAUGGAUGAAGCCUGCCUUCCACUUCAUGCUUUGCCCAGCAUUGACUCUCAGGCUUGGUUUUGACAGUCAGGACUCCUCCCACCGCCCUUUGCUGCAGCAUCCCAGCCAGCAUGCAGAUUCCCAGGGAUCUUUGUCGGUGGUGAUCUCUCUGCCAACGGUGCCUUCUCUUCCUUUCACCCUUCCCAUCCUAUCUCUGCCCCAUCCACACAUCUAUUUUAAAAAAUUUAGAUGUGUUGCAUCUGCCAGGGUUCUUUGGAGGGGAGGAUCUGCAAGAUGCCGCUCUAGGGGCAACGUGUCUCAAGCCUCUUCUCCUGGCUGCUAACACCACGGGUCGCAUGGGAAACACUAAUCCAGACCAACUGGGUCCUGUAAUGGGAGAAACUGAGGCCCAGCAAGAGGAAAUUCUCAGCCACAGUCUGUCCUCAUCUAGAGCUUGAGUCUCCUGUUGAGCUCACAGAGGGUCAAUGU